ACAUCUUUUGCCAUCGAUUCGUAACCUACGUCGAAAUUAAGAGUAAAUGAAUUUCUUCGUCUUGGUUACGAGUGUUCAAGCAAUUUAUGUAUUCAACAAUCUCAAGUUUUUUUACGUAAGAAUCUAACAUGGCGAUCCAAUGGCCUGAUUUCGAAUCUUUGUCUUCUGUUCACGUCUUUCCCUGGGAUUUCAAUGAGAGCCAUGCUUGGGCGUGCGUCGCGCUGCUGGCAGUCCUCUACGCCUUUCGUGCAUUCUGGAAUUACUUCAGGACCGUUAAAUUCAUCCUGACAUAUUUAAACGGCCCCCCGGCAUUGCCUUUGGUAGGGAACUGCCGUCUUGUCACAGAUAAAGAUCUUUUGCAGCGUAUGUCUCAUACGAGGUACGACAUGUACGGUACCAUCUUCAGGAUAUGGCUGACGGUGUUCCCGGUGGUGAUCCUCCUCGAGCCGGCCGACAUUCAGGUGGUACUUGGCAGCACCAAGCACUUGGAGAAGAACGUCUUCUACAGUUUUUUACACAAUCUGGUCGGCGAUGGAUUGGUACUGAGUGAUGUUGACCGUUGGAAAAUUCAUCGGAAAAUCCUUCAACCAGCUUUCAAUUUGAAUAUUCUUAACCGGUUUACCGACACUUUUAUCGAUGGUGCCAACCGCCUAAUCCGGAAGCUCAUGAAUUCUGCCGAGAAGAAUAUCGAUCUGACCAAGUUCGUGAACGACUCGGUCGUCAACAUUCUGAACGAGAUCGUUUUUGGCGUGACUAUGGCUUCCAAAGAGCAGAGGCAGACGGAAGACGAAGAAUCACCCUUCAGAAAGGGUCAAUUAACGGCUCUGUAUCGUCUGAUGCGUCCGUGGCUCUGGGUGAACCGGAUCUACGAGAUGACAGCCGCCGCAAAACGUGAAAAGGCCUUUCACGCAGAGCUCCUUACGAUCUGCAAGAAGAUGAUGGACGAGAGGCGAGAAGUUAUCGGGAAGACGAAGCCGGAUGUGAAUCACGAGGUUGACGAUUCCCAGCGGAGGACGUCCAUCUUGGAAUUCAUGAUCGAAGCAAGUGAGAAAAAUCCGAGCAUUACGGAGAACGACAUCCUCAACGAGUGCUGCGCGUUCAUGCUCGUCGGCCAGGAUGCCGUCGCCUUUGCAAUUACCAUCACGAUGUUUCUUCUUGCGGCGCACCCCGAGUGGCAGCAGAGGUGCGUUCAAGAGCUGGAGGAUAUCUUCGAGGGUGACUCAAGAUCACCGACGACGGAUGAUCUUAGGAAGAUGCGCUGCCUCGAGAUGUGCAUAAAAGAGUCGCUGAGACUCUAUCCGAGCGUUCCGGUCUUCGGUAGAAAGUUGAGAGAGGACACCAAAGUUGGAAAUUACGUGAUCCCUGCAGGAUGCGAAGUUAUGUUUCUCCCCUACGUCACCCACCGACUACCACAUUUCUAUCCAGAUCCCCACACCUUCGAUCCGACGAGAUUCGACCCUGACAGCAAUGAAAAUAGACACCGCUAUGCCUAUUUCCCUUUCAGCGCGGGGCCGAGGAACUGUAUCGGGUAUAAGUUCGCGACGUUGGAAAUGAAGGCUUUGAUCAGCGUAGUCCUUCGGAACUUUCAUCUUAGUACGGUACCAGGGAAGGACGAGUUACGGCUGAAGUACAGGAUCACUUUGAGGGCUCAAGGCGGUGUCUGGGUUAAUUUAAGACCGAGAUAUUGAAAUUCGUGUGAAUUGGACGAGGUGUUGGGAUGACUUUAUUAUCGGACAACGCGUCGCACCCUGCUCGACGACUUCCGGUCACAUCGAUGCACCGCACGUAAGUUUUGUGCCACAUUGUACGUACGAGAGAUUUGCACCGUGCCACAUGCGCGAUCGCGACGAAAAAGGAAAAGGAAGAGAAACGGAGUUGAGAGAAGAAAAAAAAAAAACGGAAUCACAGGUAAGAUGAAUUAAAAAAAUAUUAAAAAUAGGAAAGAGCCUGGAAGAAUAAAGCAGCGGUCACAGUUAUGUAAAGAAUUUUUCCAUCUAUGCACGGUUGCUGUAGGCAAAAUCUUGAACCUGGAACUAAUCCGUUGCUGAACGGCACGUGAACGUUCCUUAGGGUACGUGGUGUACAUCAUAUAUCUAUGUAUAUAAACAUAUUUAUAUUUAUAUAUAUAUAUAUAUACCUGGGUCCAACGAUUCUUAACUGCGCAGUUAAAGUUUUGCCGGUUUAUAAUAUAGA
rnacentral:misc_RNA from 1 species